rnacentral:lncRNA from 1 species
GAAAACCUACAGGGUCACACACAAAAGGACGGAUUGAUGAGAGAUAGAGUAAAUAAGGAACAUUGUAAGGUACGGUGCACUUAAGUGAAUUGUAGAACAUCGUAAGGUAUGGUGUACUUAAGUAGAAUACAAAAUAUGGUAAGGUACCACGCGCUUAAGUGAUUUUGGCAUAUCAUAAGAUAUGGGCCACAUACACUUAAGUGGGCUUUUUAGCUUACAGUCCACACAAGUGAUUCUAUAAAUAGAACCCUUGUGCAAAAGCAUUUGUGCAUUUGAAAUUUCG